rnacentral:tRNA from 1 species
GAAUGUGUCGCCAAGCGGUUAAGGCAUUGGUCUGCAAAACCAACAUCGGGAGUUCGAUUCUCCCCACAUUCU